rnacentral:rRNA from 1 species
UACGAAGGGGGCUAGCGUUGCUCGGAAUCACUGGGCGUAAAGGGUGCGUAGGCGGGUCUUUAAGUCAGGGGUGAAAUCCUGGAGCUCAACUCCAGAACUGCCUUUGAUACUGAAGAUCUUGAGUUCGGGAGAGGUGAGUGGAACUGCGAGUGUAGAGGUGAAAUUCGUAGAUAUUCGCAAGAACACCAGUGGCGAAGGCGGCUCACUGGGCCUGUACUGACGCUGAGGAGCGAAAGCGUGGGGAGCGAACGAG